UGUUGUGAUUCACUGUGUGGGUGCUAGGAAUUGAACUCAGGACCUCUGAAAGAGCAGCCAGUGCUCUUGACCACUGAGCCAUCUCUCCAGCCCCAAUAAUAAGAUGUAUUAACUAACUAAGGAGAAGUGAUAGCUGAGUGUGGUUGCAAAUGAAACCCUGUCCCCUUCUCUCUUUUCCCUUCUGUCUCUUAAGGGAGAAACCCUUUGUGUACGAAUGCUGACCCUGGUUUCAGUGGUAUUCAUAAGUACCUUGCACUGUGUAAGCUCUUUUAACUGUUAUAACCCUCUCAAGAAGAUAAACACCCAAGAAACUGAGUGAUUUCCUCAAGGUGUCACAGCCCAAACCUCUGGGCCUGAAGUUUCUCCCUCUGCCUGUGUCAUAUUCUGGCUUAUGGACUAGCAAGGAUGUUUCUGUCCAUCAGUCAAGUCCGGAUCCAGUGAGUCUAACCUUAAGUGAGUGGGCCCAUGUUCCUGGAUCAGAGAUCCCUCAGAUCAUAUACAUACAUAUAUACAUACACACAUACACAUAUAUACAUACAUAUACACAUAUAUAAACAUACAUACACACAUACAAGUACACAUAAACAUGCACAUACACACAUACGUACAUACAUACACAUAAACAUACACAUACACACAUACAUACAUACAUACACACACAUACAUACACACAUACACAUUUUACUUUCUAGGAAAUUCACACACUCCCUUCAAGCUGUUGUUUAAUCCUAACUACAGGCAACUCAUCAGUUAGGAACACUUCUAGGAUGGAUGCUGAAACCCGGGAAUAGUCUUCAGUGUAGAACCAAGAGACCAGCCAUGGAGCUCUGAAAGGGCUCAUUCACUGGAAAGAAAAACACCCUGCACUGCUUCAUCUAAGAACACAACACAGCCAGCUCGUGAGCCCUUGUUUUUGGAUUGAUCUAAUCCCCUAGCCUCUCUCCCACACCCAGUGAACUGUGGAGAAAGACUUGUAAUUCUGCCGCUUUCUGCCAAUGCACAUUUAUGGUUCCCAGGCCCAGCAGUCUUUAUGCUGCUUGGCAGCUAGCUCUUCCUUGGACCAGAGAAAGCACACACCCAGUUCCCACCUCAGCCAGCUCAAAGCCCUUCUAAACGACUAACUGAGCUUUAAAGUUUCCAUGUCAUUGAAGAGGCACCAAUGCACAGACUUUAGUUCCCACCCUCAGUACUUUUUAUCAUGUUCCCUUCCCCCACCUGCUUUUUUGCUUGUUUGUUUGUUUGUUUGUUUAGAGAAGGUCUCAUGUAGCCCAGUCUGGUUUCAAAGAUGCCCUGUAGAUGAGGCUACGAUCCUCCUUGAACUGCGGAUCCUCCUUGCCUUUGUUUCCUGAGUCCUGGGAUUACUGUCUUGUGCCAACACACCUGCUUGGUUUCAUUCUUUUGUUUUUGUUUUGUUUUCUGAGACAGGGUUUCUCUGUGUAGCCCUGGCUGUCCUGGAACUCACUCUCUACAGGCUGGCUUCAAACUCAGAAAUCAAUCCACCUGCCUCUGCCUCCCAAGUGCUGGAAUUAAAGGCGUGCGCCACCACUGUCCGGCUUGAUUUCAUUCUUAAUGUUUUGAAAGGGUUUCACUUUGUAGUGCAGACUGGCCUCGAACUGUUAGUCACCUGGCUUCUGCUUCUCUAAUGCUGAGAUUACAGAACGUGCACCUCCAUGCCCACUGAUGGGUCAUCUUCUGAUUCAGGAGCCUGACACUGGGAGAGGUGCUGGGAUGUUACACUAGUCUUGAUGCAGGGGGAGACAAGUAGAGUAGUAAAAUUGAUGCUCUAGAUGGUUUACUAAUAAAUGCUCUUAGGAAAUACUAAGUGACAUAAAGUAGAAUUUAGCUAAAGGAAGGCUGUUUCUCUGAUGACUAGAGAUAGAAAGUGACUAAGCAGGCUGAUUAGAAAGUAUAUUUAAAAAUUUGUGCCAUGGGGCUGGAUCGAUGGCUCAGUGGUUAAGUGCACUGACUGCUCUUCUGAAGGUCCUGAGUUCAAAUCCCAGCAACCACAUGGUGGCUCACAACCACCUGUAAUGAGAUCUGACACCCUUUUCUGGUGUGUCUCAAGACAGCGUGUACUUGCAUAUAAUAAAUAAAUAAAUCUUUUAAAAAAAUUGUGCCAUGACUGAAGUUUAGGGUUGCUGAGAAAGUUUCUGCUAAUGUUUAUGCACCAUUGAUAAAUGGUGAUUGACCUCCAAUUAGGCUCCAUUCCCAUAACAACAAGAGGAUGCUGUCUUACAAGCAGAGCUCUGCAGGACAGCUCAAGAGGCACUGCAGGGUCACAACUAUCAUCAAGGCUGUCCUGAAGUCCUCUCUGCUCUUAUCAGGGAAGAUAAUUCUGACUGCGCAAGAUGGACUUGGGUAACCACUAUUUAAAAAGAACAACACUGGUGUGUUUAAUAAUCCUGGCAAUAUCUUUGCUAUGUAAGUUUCUCCUACCUGCCCAAGUGUGUAGAUUUACAGUCUCUUCUAUAAAUUGUUCAAAGUGCAACCUGGGACCUGAGAGAUUUAAGGACAACAGUGUAUAUGAAAUUAGUGUAUAGAACAGUAUAUAUGAAAAAAAAAAGAACAGUGUAUAUGAAGUUAGUGAAACCUAUUCUUGGCCAGCUCCUCUUUGAGCAUUAGUCAGAGCUAGAUGCAACAGAGUUGCUUUUUUCCUUUGUUUUCCUUCUUUUAGUGGACCAAGCAAUUCCUCUCUGAGAAGGCAAAUUACUCCUGCAAUAGUUCUCUGCUCCCCAGGAGCCAGAGAGGGAGACAGUUGUUCAAUAGUUGUUCAGUUACAAUGUGGGGAAGGUGAGAGGACUCUAGAAUACUCUGACCUGAGGGCCUUGGGGAUGGCUCCAUGAGAAAAUGAUAUUCACACAGACUCUUGAGAGAUGUGACAAUCAGAAAUGCCUUGAGCCCCUCCCAGGUUGUGUGUGUUUCCCACAGCAUGAAGCCCUAAGGAUUCCUUCCAUUUCUGGAGCACAUGGAAGCAAAGGGUUCCAAGAUACUCACAUGGACUCAAGGAUGGCCAGGGCCAGGCCUUAGAACCCACAAGGU
rnacentral:lncRNA from 1 species